rnacentral:rRNA from 3 species
GUGGGUAGUUUGACUGGGGCGGUCUCCUCCCAAAGCGUAACGGAGGAGCACGAAGGUUAGCUAAUCCUGGUCGGACAUCAGGAGGUUAGUGCAAUGGCAUAAGCUAGCUUGACUGCGAGCGUGACGGCGCGAGCAGGUGCGAAAGCAGGUCAUAGUGAUCCGGUGGUUCUGAAUGGAAGGGCCAUCGCUCAACGGAUAAAAGGUACUCCGGGGAUAACAGGCUGAUACCGCCCAAGAGUUCAUAUCGACGGCGGUGUUUGGCACCUCGAUGUCGGCUCAUCACAUCCUGGGGCUGAAGUAGGUCCCAAGGGUAUGGCUGUUCGCCAUUUAAAGUGGUACGCGAGCUGGGUUUAGAACGUCGUGAGACAGUUCGGUCCCUAUCUGCCGUGGGCGCUGGAGAAUUGAGGGGGGCUGCUCCUAGUACGAGAGGACCGGAGUGGACGCAUCACUGGUGUUCGGGUUGUCAUGCCAAUGGCACUGCCCGGUAGCUAAAUGCGGAAGAGAUAAGUGCUGAAAGCAUCUAAGCACGAAACUUGCCCCGAGAUGAGUUCUCCCUGAGACUUUAAGUCUCCUGAAGGAACGUUAAAGACGAUGACGUUGAUAGGCCGGGUGUGUAAGCGCAGCGAUGCGUUGAGCUAACCGGUACUAAUGAACCGUGAGGCUUAACCUU